AAUCUUGGACAAUGGGCGCAAGCCUGAUCCAGCCAUGCCGCGUGAGUGAAGAAGGCCCUAGGGUUGUAAAGCUCUUUCGGCGGGGACGAUAAUGACGGUACCCGCAGAAGAAGCCCCGGCUAACUCCGUGCCAGCAGCCGCGGUAAUACGGAGGGGGCUAGCGUUGUUCGGAAUUACUGGGCGUAAAGCGCACGUAGGCGGGUCGUUAAGUCGGGGGUGAAAUCCUGGGGCUCAACCUCAGAACUGCCCUCGAUACUGGCGACCUUGAGUACGGGAGAGGUGAGUGGAAUUCCCAGUGUAGAGGUGAAAUUCGUAGAUAUUGGGAAGAACACCAGUGGCGAAGGCGGCUCACUGGCCCGUAACUGACGCUGAGGUGCGAAAGCGUGGGGAGCAAACAGG
rnacentral:rRNA from 1 species